UACGAAGGGGGCUAGCGUUGCUCGGAAUCACUGGGCGUAAAGCGCACGUAGGCGGAUCUUUAAGUCAGGGGUGAAAUCCCAAGGCUCAACCUUGGAACUGCCUUUGAUACUGGGGAUCUCGAGUCCGGAAGAGGUGAGUGGAACUGCGAGUGUAGAGGUGAAAUUCGUAGAUAUUCGCAAGAACACCAGUGGCGAAGGCGGCUCACUGGUCCGGUACUGACGCUGAGGUGCGAAAGCGUGGGGAGCGAACGAGG
rnacentral:rRNA from 1 species